rnacentral:rRNA from 1 species
UACGAGGGGUGCAAGCGUUGCUCGGAAUUAUUGGGCGUAAAGGGUAGGUAGGUGGUCUCAUUUGUCUGGGGUGAAAGCCUUGAGCUUAACUCAAGAAGUGCCCCGGAAACGGUGAGACUGGAGUCUUGGAGAGGGUCGUGGAAUUCCCGGUGUAGCGGUGAAAUGUGUAGAGAUCGGGAGGAACACCGGUGGCGAAGGCGGGUCUCUGGGCAAUUCCUGACGCUGAGGCGCGAAAGCGUGGGGAGCGUACCGG